GAUGAACGCUGGCGGCGUGCCUAAUACAUGCAAGUCGAGCGAACAGACGAGGAGCUUGCUCCUCUGACGUUAGCGGCGGACGGGUGAGUAACACGUGGAUAACCUACCUAUAAGUCUGGGAUAACUUCGGGAAACCGGAGCUAAUACCGGAUAAUAUAUUGAACCGCAUGGUUCAAUAGUUAAAGACGGUUUUGCUGUCACUUAUAGCUGGAUCCGCGCCGCAUUAGCUAGUUGGUAAGGUAACGGCUUACCAAGGCGACGAUGCGUAGCCGACCUGAGAGGGUGAUCGGCCACACUGGAACUGAGACACGGUCCAGACUCCUACGGGAGGCAGCAGUAGGGAAUCUUCCGCAAUGGGCGAAAGCUUGACGGAGCAACGCCGCGUGAGUGAUGAAGGUCUUCGGAUCGUAAAACUCUGUUAUUAGGGAAGAACAAAUGUGUAAGUAACUAUGCACGUCUUGACGGUACCUAAUCAGAAAGCCACGGCUAACUACGUG
rnacentral:rRNA from 1 species